rnacentral:rRNA from 1 species
UACGAAGGGGGCUAGCGUUGCUCGGAAUCACUGGGCGUAAAGGGUGCGUAGGCGGGUCUUAAGUCAGGGGUGAAAUCCUGGGGCUCAACCCCAGAACUGCCUUUGAUACUGGCGAUCUCGAGUCCGGAAGAGGUGAGUGGAACUCCUAGUGUAGAGGUGGAAUUCGUAGAUAUUAGGAAGAACACCAGUGGCGAAGGCGGCUCACUGGUCCGGUACUGACGCUGAGGUGCGAAAGCGUGGGGAGCAAACAGG